rnacentral:rRNA from 1 species
ACGGGAGGCAGCAGUGGGGAAUAUUGGGCACUGGGCGCAAGCCUGACCCAGCAACGCCGCGUGAAGGAAGAAGGCUUUCGGGUUGUAAACUUCUUUUGUCAGGGAAGAGUAGAAGACUGUACCUGACGAAUAAGCCACGGCUAACUACGUGCCAUCAGCCGCGGUAAUACGUAGGUGGCAAGCGUUGUCCGGAUUUACUGGGUGUAAAGGGCGUGUAGCCGGGUCGGUAAGUCAGAUGUGAAAUCCACGGGCUCAACUCGUGAACUGCAUUUGAAACUGCUGACCUUGAGUAUCGGAGAGGCAAGCGGAAUUCCUAGGGUAGCGGUGAAAUGCGUAGAUAUUAGGAGGAACAACAGUGGUGAAGGCGGAUUGCUGGACGACAACUGACGGUGAGGCGCGAAAGAGUGGGGAGCAAACAGGAUUAGAU